UCAUACUUGCGCUGAAGGCACUAUGGACUGGCCUAUGGUCUGAUGCUUCGAACUUCAAGUAGUUGCAUCUUCCUUGUGAGAAUGCGUCAAACCAGGCGCUAUUUACUAGAGUUCUGUCUAGGCGGCUGUGAAUGAGGUGGGUGUGGUGCUGUCCUCGCCAGGAGAGGCAGUUGCCCGUAUAACGUAGAUCGAACAGGUCAUUUCGAGCCAGGAAGUUUCUGAAGUUGAAGAAAGAGCUCUCUGCUCUUAGCGGGCCACCUGAUUUUUCACUAUUCUCUAAGAUAUCAUUGAAGUCUCC
rnacentral:lncRNA from 1 species